AUACUUACCUGGCAGGGAACGUACCAUGAUCACAAAGCUGAUUUUCCCAAGGUGAGGCUUAUCCAUCACAAUCCGGAUGUGCUGACCCCUUCGAUUUUCCCAAAUGUGGGAAGCUUGACUGCAUAAUUUGUGGUAGUGGGGAACUGUGUGUGCACUCUCCCCUU